AGAGUUUGAUCCUGGCUCAGGACGAACGCUGGCGGCGUGCCUAACACAUGCAAGUCGAACGAGGUCCAACCGGUGGCAACACCGGUGAAGACCUAGUGGCGAACGGGUGCGUAACACGUGAGCAACCUGCCCCGAAGACUGGGAUAACGCCGGGAAACCGGUGCUAAUACCAGAUGUCCCCACCGGAUCCGCAUGGAUCU
rnacentral:rRNA from 1 species